CUAUCUUGGCACUCAAGUUGUCUUUAUUAAUGUUAAACUAGUUAGUUCGCUAUCUUACUUAGUCCUUGUUUAGUAGACUGGGGUUCGGUUACCACAGCCACAAAUUCAACAUUGGCUAUAUCGUAAAAAUUUGUGAAAUCAAACUUAGCUUUUUGGUCUUAAAUUAAGGUUAGGCAUGAGGUUAGCAGUGUGAUUAAGGUUCGUUUUAAAAUCUAUUACAUUUUAGAAAUAGUCGGGGUUUAGCCAUCAGCGUGACUGUGGUAACUAGUGACGACCAACUAGUAGCCUUCAGUAGCGCGGCUACAUUAUUAUUAUUAUUUUUUUAACCUUUACUAAACUAGGCAAGUCAGUUAACAAAUUCGUAUUUACAAUGACGCCUACACCGGACGACGCUGGGCUAACUGAGCGCAGCCCUAUAGGGCUCCCAAUCACGGCCGGUAGUGACGCCUCUAGCACGGAGACGCAGUGCCUUAAGACUGCUGCGCCACUCGGGAGCCACAUUUACCCCACCAUAACAUGAACAGCAGACGUACGCCCUCAUAGCACAAUCUUGGAAACAGUUUCUUAGCUGACAGAUCCAGGAUAUGGAGACAAUGAUACAUUGAUUUCCUCCGUACCUGAACCAGGACUGAGUGUUGGAGGUAGAGGUGAUGUAAAUGAAGCAGCUGCAUUUCCAAUUCCAUGGGGAUGCUCAAACUACAGCGGGGUAUGCCGUGCUGUCUGUCUGUCAGCA